rnacentral:rRNA from 1 species
AUUGAACGCUGGCGGCAGGCCUAACACAUGCAAGUCGAGCGAUCGGCGGACGGGCGAGUAAUGUAUGGGGACUGCCCGAUAGAGGGGGAUAACUACUGGAAACGGUGGCUAAUACAGCAUACUGUCGGAUAACCCAUAUGGGAUUAGCUAGUAGGUAAGGGAAUGGCUUACCUAGGCGACGAUCCCUAGCUGGUCUGAGAGGAGGAUCAGCAACACGGGGACUGAGAACCGGCCCAGACUCCGACGGAGGCAGCAGUGGGAAAUAUUGCACAUGGGGCGAAAGCCGGAUGCAUCCAUGCCGCGUGUAUGAAGAAGGCCCUAGGGUUGUAAAGUACUUUCAGUAGGGAGGCGUUACCGACAGAAGAAGCACCGGCUAACUCCGUGCCAGCAGCCGCGGUAAUAC